rnacentral:misc_RNA from 1 species
GUUAUUUUCUCUUUAUGAUAUACCAAAAGAUUUUCAAGAAUACAAAGAUCUAUUUAUGCCCUCUUGUGCUGACUCUCAUGUUGAUUUUCAGUAUGCAACAUCCCUAUGGAAAAAUCAAAAUUUCUUUAUUAAACUUCCUUUCAAGUUUAAUGAAGACAUCAAUCCUACAAAGGCAACCCAUCUGGGUGUGAUACCAUCAAACCACUCUCUUGCACAACAAGAAUGCCAGCAACUUCUCCAGCAAGGUCUCAUCGAGCCAACUGAUUCAAAAUAAACGUGUCAAGCUUUUUAUAUAGAGAAAAGAUCACAGAAAAUUCGUUGUAAAAAAAGAA